UCUCCGUUGGUGAACCAGCGGAGGGAUCAUUACCGAGUUUACAACUCCCAAACCCAAUGUGAACGUUACCAAACUGUUGCCUCGGCGGGAUCUCUGCCCCGGGUGCGUCGCAGCCCCGGACCAAGGCGCCCGCCGGAGGACCAACCAAAACUCUUAUUGUAUACCCCCUCGCGGGUUUUUUAUAAUCUGAGCCUUCUCGGCGCCUCUCGUAGGCGUUUCGAAAAUGAAUCAAAACUUUCAACAACGGAUCUCUUGGUUCUGGCAUCGAUGAAGAACGCAGCGAAAUGCGAUAAGUAAUGUGAAUUGCAGAAUUCAGUGAAUCAUCGAAUCUUUGAACGCACAUUGCGCCCGCCAGUAUUCUGGCGGGCAUGCCUGUCCGAGCGUCAUUUCAACCCUCGAACCCCUCCGGGGGGUCGGCGUUGGGGAUCGGCCCUGCCUCUUGGCGGUGGCCGUCUCCGAAAUACAGUGGCGGUCUCGCCGCAGCCUCUCCUGCGCAGUAGUUUGCACACUCGCAUCGGGAGCGCGGCGCGUCCACAGCCGUUAAACACCCAACUUCUGAAAUGUUGACCUCGGAUCAGGUAGGAAUACCCGCUGAACUUAA
rnacentral:rRNA from 1 species